rnacentral:misc_RNA from 1 species
UGGUGAACAGAGUGGCCUCGAACUCCUGACCUCAGGUGAUCAGCCAGUCUUGGUCUCCCAAAGUUCUGGCAUUACAGGCAUGAGCCAUCUCGCCUGGCCUCUUCCUAAUUUUUAAUACUAAAUAUCUCAUGGGGAUUGAGAAUAAAGCAAAUAUUUCCAAAGUGGCAAUGCCCCUGUUGUAGAGCAUAAAGGUCUUGGUGGAAAUUUUGAGUCUCACAGACCUGGGUUUUCAUAGAGUUUUACUCACUUUACACAUUACAGACCCUUUGACAGGGCAUUCUCUCCCUGCCUCUAGUACUGCCUCAUCAUAUUGUUUCUUGGAUGUUUUUAAUAUAACACAGCCAGUAACAGGCGCUCCAUGUAAUGACGCUAUGCAUGUGGUCUGUGAGCCGGGAGGUCAGUGUGUGUCAUCCUUGGGCGCUCCACACCCCUCCCCAAACCCACGUAGAUUCAGUGUGCUCAACCAGAAAGACGUAAUCAGAGAGAAUAGCCUGGCAUUUCUUGGAUUUGGUACCUAUCUUUUCAGUUCAAUAGAAUGGAGUUAAAAUAAAAAAAAAAAAAAAGAAACCUUUCUGAGCUCCUACUAUAUGACUGAAUAUACAGAAAUGAAGAAAUAAAUAGACUCAGUUUUUCAAUAACUUGCAGACUAAAGAGAAAACAGAAGCCCCAGCCACCUGGGGGCGGGGGAGGGGGGGCCUGACGUUAGAAAACACUAGGCCAGGUCUGCACAAUGCAGCAGAAGAGUCCGACCUCAGGGCGGUGCACCUUCUUGACCUGAGAUGAGACUAAGGCUAGAACGUUCAGAGAUGGAACAGCCCGAGCCAAGUGAUCGUGUGAACGGUUCCAUGACCCUGAAGAACGAAGUGGGUGCGGCAGGACAGGAGACUGGUCAGGCAGAGGCCAGGUGAGGAGGAAUCUCGUCUGUUGCCCUGAGACCUGGUGGACAAGGUGGAACCACUGAAAGGCACCUCCCGUCAGGCACACACAUUAAGGACUCGUGACUGAAGGAUGUUGGUUUGCAUAAAGCUAAAAAAGCCCUUAUCACAAAAUGUGUACAUGCAAUGCCUGGUAGGCAUAAUGAAUGUUGUGGAAACUGUUCUCAGUCAAUUUCUCUAAGUCUUAGAGAGAGCAAUGGAUUAUUCCUGUCUGUAUUUUACAUUAUCACAAUUUUUGUAUAGACAAAGCCAGUAUCUUUAGCUUGUCUGUCUCCCUCAUCUGCGCAUACGUACGGAGCAUCGUCACCACCUGUUGGAAUGACCUGAAGUGCAACAAAACUCCAUACAGAAAAACCAGAUCUAUAACAGUGAGGCCAACAAGUUCCAUUCUUAUUGGAGGCAAGCACCCAAUUCAAUUAGCAUCCAAAUGUACAAAAAUGAGUAAUGUCCGUGUCACCCACGUAAUGUGUGUGUUCUGAGGCCACGAUCCCUUUAGUCACAAACAAUGUCAACACAUGCAAAUCUCCGUCUUGUGUUUACAGAUUCACAGUAUGUAAAUUAGAACAAGAAAAUCAUAUCAGAACGUUUUAUGGAUACUGUUCUCAAGUAUUUUAGUGUGACUUGGCAUAAGGGAAUGAGAAGGCGCCACAGAGGGAACUUGAGUUGAUUGCAUCUGGUGAGAUAAACCCCAAGAAAUCCUGGCUUGAAGACAUCAGGCUGAUGUGAGUAGAGAGAAUGUGAGCCUGGGAAUAAAUCAGUGGAGAAUUUAAUGAGGUAAAAUGCUUUGAAGUGGUUUAAAGUAAUUCUUAAAGUGAUUUUUAAAUUGCACAACUAAAACUUGCCGAAAAAUACAGCUGUUUUGUAAUAAGUUGAACUCAGGAACAGCAGUUAUCACUUUUGUUUUUUGUCUAUGCCAUGAAAGCCUGUCUUUGCAGAAUUCCAAGUCCUCGAAUAAAAGAAAAAACCACUGCUA